GGGCCCAUAGCUCAAUCGGUAGAGCAGCGGACUCUUAAUCCGGAGGUUGAAGGUUCGAUUCCUUCUGGGCUCA
rnacentral:tRNA from 1 species